rnacentral:rRNA from 1 species
ACUCCUACGGGAGGCAGCAGUGGGGAAUAUUGCACAAUGGGCGCAAGCCUGAUCCAGCCAUGCCGCGUGAGUGAUGAAGGCCCUAGGGUUGUAAAGCUCUUUCACCGGUGAAGAUAAUGACGGUAACCGGAGAAGAAGCCCCGGCUAACUUCGUGCCAGCAGCCGCGGUAAUACGAAGGGGGCUAGCGUUGUUCGGAUUUACUGGGGCGUAAAGCGCACGUAGGCGGACUUUUAAGUCAGGGGUGAAAUCCCGGGGCUCAACCCCGGAACUGCCUUUGAUACUGGAAGUCUUGAGUAUGGUAGAGGUGAGUGGAAUUCCGAGUGUAGAGGUGAAAUUCGUAGAUAUUCGGAGGAACACCAGUGGCGAAGGCGGCUCACUGGACCAUUACUGACGCUGAGGUGCGAAAGCGUGGGAGCAAACAGGAUUAGAUACCCUGGUAGCACAGAG